GAAAGAAAGUAUGAAGCGAAAUUAACAAGAAUGAAGAACAAGUGCAGCACGUUUGGGAAAGUUCUAGCUGUGCUUUGGUUGUUUUUCAUUUGUUCUCAGAUAUUUUUCUUCAUUUAUUUUGAAUCUUUUUCGGUCUACUUUUU
rnacentral:ribozyme from 12 species